CGGGGAGACAGGUGGUGCAUGGUUGUCGUCAGCUCGUGUCGUGAGAUGUUGGGUUAAGUCCCGCACGAGCGCAACCCUAUUGCUAGUUACCAUCAUUAAGUUGGGGACUCUAGCGAGACUGCCAGUGAUAAACUGGAGGAAGGUGGGGAUGACGUCAAAUCAUCAUGCCCCUUAUGACCUGGGCUACAAACGUGAUACAAUGGCUGGAACAAAGGGAUGCGAAGCAGUGAUGUGGAGCGAAACCCAUAAAAACAGUCUCAGUUCGGAUUGAAGUCUGCAACUCGACUUCAUGAAGUCGGAAUCGCUAGUAAUCGCGAUCAGAACGCCGCGGUGAAUACGUUCUCGGGGUUU
rnacentral:rRNA from 1 species